CGCACCUUGCACUCUUUGGUAUUCCGAAGAGUAUGUCUGUUUGAGUGUCGUGAAACUCUCAACCCCCCUAUUUUGUAAUGAGAUAGGCCUGUGGGCUUGGAUUAUGGCUGCUUGCCGGACUUUUAUUAGACCGGCUCGGCUGAAAUACACGAGCGGACCCGCACUUUUGAAAUACAGCGACGGCUUGACUCGGCGUAAUAAUACUUAUGUCGCUGAGGACGUUUAGCACUUUUUCAAUUGUGGUUGUGGCCGCUUCUAGCGCGAAUGUUACAUCAUUCACCUUAAGCUUUAGACCUCAAAUCAGGCAGGACUACCCGCUGAACUUAA
rnacentral:misc_RNA from 1 species